GCUGGCUGCAGCGCCGCCUCAGGGGGAGGUGGGAGCGGCUCCUCCCCUCAGGGGGCGGUGCCCGGGGUGGAGGGGUUGCGGCGAGCAGCCGGGCGGCGUGGCUCGCUCUUUUUCGUUCGUGGGACGAUGCUCCGUGCAGCCCUAGGGCACCAGACCCCUCCCGGUUGCCCCCACGGGGCGAUAUCUGAGAGAGUGUAACGGCAGCUGGUCGAGACAGGGAAGCGGAAGGAAGAAAAAGUCCUAAACCAGCAAACACCACAGCAGCGCAGCUUUUACCGUUUUUUGUAAGCGUUCCCUUUCCCUGGGGACUAAGCACACCCGUCUGUCUCCUGGGGCUGCAAACACAUAUUUGCUUUUCAUCAUUUACAUAUUUCAACGGCCGACCUCCUGCUCGUCUUUCUUAGAAAAUCCCGUGAUGAGUGGUUGCCAAGAUAGAGAGUGGCAUUGGUUUUUCCAGUAACCCAGGGUCUCAAGCUGCUCGGGAUAUAGAUCAAUUUACUGAUUAUCUCAGGGAAAUCUCCAUGAGUACAACCUGGAGAAAGCGAUGACUGCAGCUCUUUCGAGUGGCUGAGCUGGAGGAGCGCAUCGGGGCGACUCUGCACGUGAAGUUCUGCAAAACACAUGAGAUGCUGGAGUUGUUGCAGCAGUUAUCCUGACAUUAACCACUAAGGCUGUAAACCUUCCCUUCAACCAGAAAUAACACUUGAAGAAAAAUCCUGGAGGGAAGACAGAAGGAGCAAAUUGGCCAUGUGAAACAAGGACAGGAGGAACAGAGGAGGUGAGAGGCUUGCUGGGUCUGAGCCUGCUGUGGACCUCCCUCUGCCAUGCACUUGUCUGAGGUGCUCCUGCCUCCAACCUCCUUACAGCCCAGCCAGGAACCCACAUCUGUCUUCAGUCUCACAAAGAAUGAACUCCUUAAUCAGAACCUCUGCAAACCAAACCCUCUCUAGGAACUGAGAGAGGAUGGUCCAAGCUGUAAAGCAGCCAGCUUCCCAACAUGUCAGUUCUGAGUAUGGCUCUUUCACUUUCCAAAUGAGACAGGACAACUGUGCAGCUCAGGCUUCCAGUGGGAAUCAUCCCUACCUUACUGCUUUAAAUGCUUAUUUAAAAAACCCAGAAACUGUGAGAAGAGAAAACCAAGUGUUGCUUGAGUUCUCACAGUUUUACUGGCAGAAUGUCAACAUAAUAUUUUAUAUAGUGCACAUGCUGGUAAGGCACUGAGAUAAGCAGAAAGUCUGAGAUUUCCCUGCCUAACAGUUCUCUGAUGCUCUUGAUUUUGUAAAUCUCUUUAUUCUGUAGUAUGUGAUGGGGAAAGGCCACCUCAGUGAUGAGAAAAGCCACUGUAGGGAACGACAAUAAUAAGUGCUUAUGUCCAGCUUUGGUUCUAAGCUCUUUUGUGCUUGGAUUUAUGAAAGCUGCUUUUAUUAUUGUUGUUUUUAUCUCUUCAGCUGGUCGGAGACAGUGUAUUAGUCAGAUGUGUGGGUAGCGAAUUACCUGUGAUAUCAAACUACGUGUUGUUAAUUAAAAAUACGUGCCUUUGACAUAUUAAGCAUCCAUUAAGGGCUCCAUCGUUUGUCUGGAGCGGCACUGUGCAUUGCGCUGGAGGAAUCGGAUGAGCUGUCGAGACCUGAGGGCUGCCUUGUGAGGAGCCCAACUGGGCAGAUUAAAGGAUGGAACUGUUGUUUUGGAUUAUACAUUUGGUAUUGCUUUUGCUUAUCUCACAAGGAAUAAAUCUCGAGGGCUUAGCUGGAUGUCUGGGUGAGAACUAGCAGGUGAAGUACCGCCUUCUUUUACUGGUGAAAUUGUUCUUCUGAUUUGAUCGGAAUAGUGCAGCACGGUGCCUGCUGGUGAUCGUAUCCUUGUAGCUGGAGGUUUUCAGGGAGAUGAGAAAUCGGAUUUUUUUAAACUUGAUGUGAUGCGCUGCUAAUUUGAGCAAUAUUUAUUUUCCCACAGGCAGUGUUUCCAGAGGCGUGUGCAAACGGAGGUUUGCAGCACUGUGCUAUUGCCUUUAAACUGAAAGCUGGCUUCCUUUCUCUUAAGAAGCAGGCAUUAAGCAUAAGGGAUUAA